rnacentral:tRNA from 1 species
GGGUGUAGCUCAGUGGUAGAGUUUGUGCUUAGCAUGCACAAAGUCCUGGGCUCAAUCCCAAGUACAUCCA